GGGCUUGUGGUUUAGUGGUAUAAUACUCCCUUAGCAUCUGACGGCCUUCUUCUAAGAAGCUCACAAAAAAUUGGGAGUGGUCCGGGGUUCGAUUCCCCGCGAGUCCA